rnacentral:rRNA from 1 species
UACGUAGGGUGCAAGCGUUGUCCGGAAUUAUUGGGCGUAAAGAGCUCGUAGGCGGCUUGUCACGUCGACUGUGAAAACCCGAGGCUCAACCUCGGGCCUGCAGUCGAUACGGGCAGGCUAGAGUUCGGUAGGGGAGACUGGAAUUCCUGGUGUAGCGGUGAAAUGCGCAGAUAUCAGGAGGAACACCAAAGGCGAAGGCAGUGUCCUGGGGAGUACCUGACGCUCAGGUGCGAAAGCCAGGGGAGCGAACGGG